rnacentral:rRNA from 1 species
UACGUAGGGUGCGAGCGUUGUCCGGAAUUACUGGGCGGAAAGAGCUCGUAGGCGGUUUGUCGCGUCUGCCGUGAAAGUCCGGGGCUCAACUCCGGAUCUGCGGUGGGUACGGGCAGACUAGAGUGAUGUAGGGGAGACUGGAAUUCCUGGUGUAGCGGUGAAAUGCGCAGAUAUCAGGAGGAACACCGAUGGCGAAGGCAGGUCUCUGGGCAUUAACUGACGCUGAGGAGCGAAAGCAUGGGGAGCGAACAGG